AGGGAAUUAACUCAGUGGUAGAGUGUGUGCUUCGCAUGUACAAAGUCGGGAGUUCAAUCCUCUCAUUCUCCA
rfam:Sphaeroforma arctica JP610 cont1.8162, whole genome shotgun sequence.